GAUACCACGUUUAUACAGCGGAGGAUCCUGAGUUGAUGCAUAUAUUGGCUCAAAAAGUAACUAGGCUCUGAAGUGCAGAUUGACAAGAGGUAUGCUUACUGUUGUCUGUGUCAGUCUAUCUACUCGAUCACCUUCAUAUCAACAAGUACAUUGGAGUUGUUUAUCUCAGUGCAUCAGAAUUGUUUCUUUCAUGCAGAGUUUCUGCUGCUAUUUGUUAAAUCUUAAAGAAACGUCUGUUCCUGAGGUUUACAAGUCCCCUUGUUCAAAUAUGAAAAUGAUUUAUUUGCAAACUUCAAUGCAAAAUGGUUAGUCAGUCUCGAACAACUGCAUCUAUAUAUACUUUCUAGCUAUGCUAUUGAUGCCACAUCCAGAUUACACUUUUCUUCUCUUUUUCUUUUCUUGGGAGUAGAAAGGUCUCACUCAAGGAUCGAGCAAAUGCAGUUCUAAUGCUUGUGUCGUCUAAUUCAAAGCAUGAUGACUUUAAAUGUUCAUGAAAUAUUUCUCCUCUUAAAUAUAAAAAACUAAUAUACAUAUAAGCAUGAAAAUUAGAUUUACUGGAUUUAUUGGAUUCUAUUUGUUGCAUAAUUUAUUGCAUAUUAGACAUAACGAUGCCAAUCUAUUAUAUACAGUAUCUUUGAACUAGGUUAGAAGUUGGCAUUUCUAUCAUGCGAGCUUCAGGGAAGGAUUAAUCUGAUUGUCCUUUGAUGUUCUAGAGUUUAGUUUGUUGGUUGCUUCAGUUACGGUGGUGUUAUUUGGAAUAAUAAUGUCUUCAGGUGCUUGUAACAUCGGUAGAAUGGUGGAAUUCUAGCAGUCAUUAGUUUCAGUUUGUGUAUAAGAAAUACCAUCAACCUAUUAUUAGUGAGCUUUGUAUUGUUUUUCUCCGUGUUUACACCUCUCUUGCUCCAAGCCUGGUGAUUCAAUUCUAACAGAGGAGCUUGCUACAGCCAUCCAGGGGGCCAGGGCGAUUAGAUGCCCAUCACUCACGGCGGCAAGAAGUUCCGUGUCGAGUUGAUGAACCAGCACCAGCUGGGAGCCCGGAUGAAGAAGGUUGUCCCCGCGGAGAAAAAGGAGAAGUGAUGAGAUGUUUUUGACAGCUAAUGGAUGAUCUUAUCUUACUCUGUGAAUUUUUGUUUUGGUCGAUUUAGAAACCUUGUUUGAUGUCUGAAGAUCCCUUUUUGCCCACUGUUCAAACCAUCUCUUCAUUUUUGUGUAAAUGGUAACAAUACACUUCAAACAAUUAAGUUGUCAUCCCAAAAAAUAUUUUGUAAAAGGAUGUACUUAUCGCCUCAAUAAUCCUUAAUCGUCAA
rnacentral:lncRNA from 1 species